rnacentral:rRNA from 1 species
ACUGCUCAGUAACACGUAGUCAACAUGCCCAGGGGACGUGGAUAACCUCGGGAAACUGAGGAUAAACCACGAUAAGUCACUACCUCUGGAAUGGGUAAUGACUCAAAUCUACAUGGCCCCUGGAUUGGACUGCGGCCGAUCAGGCUGUUGGUGAGGUAAUGGCCCACCAAACCUGUAACCGGUACGGGCUCUGAGAGGAGGAGCCCGGAGAUGGGCACUGAGACAAGGGCCCAGGCCCUAUGGGGCGCAGCAGGCGCGAAACCUCUGCAAUAGGCGAAAGCCUGACAGGGUUACUCUGAGUGAUUUCCGUUAAGGAGAUCUUUUGGCACCUCUAAAAAUGGUGCAGAAUAAGGGGUGGGCAAGUCUGGUGUCAGCCGCCGCGGUAAUACCAGCACCCCGAGUGGUCGGGACGUUUAUUGGGCCUAAAGCAUCCGUAGCCGGUUCUACAAGUCUUCCGUUAAAUCCACCUGCUUAACAGAUGGGCUGCGGAAGAUACUAUAGAGCUAGGAGGCGGGAGAGGCAAGCGGUACUCGAUGGGUAGGGGUAAAAUCCGUUGAUCCAUUGAAGACCACCAGUGGCGAAGGCGGCUUGCCAGAACGCGCUCGACGGUGAGGGAUGAAAGCUGGGGGAGCAAACCGGAUUAGAUACCCGGGUAGUCCCAGCUGUAAACGAUGCAGACUCGGUGAUGAGUUGGCUAUAUGCCAACUCAGUGCCGCAGGGAAGCCGUUAAGUUUGCCGCCUGGGGAGUACGGUCGCAAGACUGAAACUUAAAGGAAUUGGCGGGGGAG